rnacentral:rRNA from 1 species
UACGGGGGGGCGAAGCGUUGUUCGGAAUUACUGGGCGUAAAGGGUUCGUAGGUGGCUUGUUAAGUCAGACGUGAAAUCCCUCGGCUCAACCGGGGAACUGCGUCUGAGACUGAUGAGCUCGAGUGCAGGAGAGGAACGCGGAAUUCCAGGUGUAGCGGUGAAAUGCGCAGAUAUCGGGAGGAACACCGAUGGCGAAGGCAGCACUCUGGGCCGGCACUGACGCUGAGGAGCGAAAGCGUGGGGAGCGAACAGG